rnacentral:rRNA from 1 species
GACGAACGCUGGCGGCGUGCUUAACACAUGCAAGUCGAACGGAAAGGCCCUGCUUUUGGGGGGUGCUCGAGUGGCGAACGGGUGAGUAACACGUGAGUAACCUGCCCUUGACUUUGGGAUAACUUCAGGAAACUGGGGCUACUACCGGAUAGUAGCUCCUGCUGCAUGGUGGGGGUUGGAAAGUUUGGGCGGUUGGGGUUGGACUCGCGGCUUAUCCGCUGGUUGGUGGGGUAGGGGCUUACCAAGGCUUUGACGGGUAGGCGGCCUGAGAGGGUGACCGGCCACAUUAGGACUGAGAUACGGCCCAGAAUCCUACGGGCGGCAGCAGUGGAAAAUAUUACACAAUGGGCGGAAGCCUGAUGCAGAAACGCCGCGGGCGGGAUGAAGGCCUUCGGGUUGUAAACCGCUUUCGCCUGUGACGAAGCGUGAGUGACGGUAAUGGGUAAAGAAGCACCGGCUAACUACGUG